AAGAACUACAUAUCCCAGAGGACCUCAUGGGCAGAGAAGGAAGAUACAUCACGGAAGAUACGUCAUCUGGUUGCACACGAUCUUUUGCUUUCACUUGCUGCGGGAGAGGAGUGGGUGUGCUUCCAAACCGUGCACCUUCAUCAAUGUUCUACUUAAGAUGAAAUACUGUGGGAGGUCACCCUGUCCAAUUUCAGGAAGGAAGUGUAGAUAUGUUGAGAAUGCAGCCUUGACCACGUUGACCUGGGGAAAUGGAAGGUUUGCUGGGGAGUUAUAAUUGUUGAGGUGUAUGAAUUAAUGCAUCUGGAACUAUUCAGUAUUUUUCCUCCAG
ensembl:lncRNA